AAUCCAUGCAUAGGACACUUCCACAUCAAUUUUUUAAAUAUUUCUCAUGCUUCAUACAAGCUUUCAUCUUUCAACUGCUUGAAUGAAGUUAAAUCGUUUCAAAGCUU